rnacentral:lncRNA from 1 species
UAAAACCAAUGUUCCACCUUUUCUUUGAUUCUCCUUUAUUUAUGUUUAAUAUACAAAAUAUUAUAACACAAUUUCUAUAGUAAUUCUGUUAUUUUAUGUUCACCAUUACCAAGAAUUGUCCCCUAGAAAAGGGAUAAUGAAGAAAAAUGAAUUGUACCGUGAUGCUUGAUUUGAUUAAGAAAAUUAGCUGGCCUUGAUGCUUGAUUUCAUUUAGGAUCAUUUGAAUUCCUGUUAUAUAUUGAGAAUUGAUGAAUUGUAUGUUUUCUAUAUAUUCCACAUAAGCAUAUAUAAAUACGUAUUCAAAGUAUAGUCGCGCAUAUCCCAUGACAUUAACAAAGGGAAGGGCCACGUCUUCAACUUCCAAAUAGUUAUAGUAGCUUGAUACAUCAUUUCUCUUAGCAAUAUUUCUCUUGUAUUCAGUAAUAUUUUUACCAAAUAGUUCUAGUAGCUUGAUACAUCAUUUCUCUUCCUUUAUUUGUACAAUAUAUUUUUGUUUUGU